rnacentral:rRNA from 1 species
UACAGAGGGUGCGAGCGUUGUCCGGAAUCACUGGGCGUAAAGGGCGCGUAGGCGGUGCGGUAAGUCACCUGUGAAAACUCUGGGCUCAACUCAGAGCCUGCAGGCGAAACUGCCGUGCUUGAGUGUGGGAGAGGUGCGUGGAAUUCCCGGUGUAGCGGUGAAAUGCGUAGAUAUUGGGAGGAACACCUGUGGCGAAAGCGGCGCACUGGACCACAACUGACGCUGAGGCGCGAAAGCUAGGGGAGCAAACAGG